rnacentral:tmRNA from 1 species
GGGUCCGUAAAGGCUUCGACGGGGAUCUUGAAGAGCAAUAAGCGAGUAGUGAGGGCGAAAUCACUUUAAUCGUCGCAACCUAAAUUUAAACGCAGACGACAAUCUCGUUUUAGCAGCGGCCUAAGCGCCCUGCCGUCAUACUCCGCAGUACCGCGGGCGGGGAUAUGGCGUCACACAGCGGUGAACGACGUUAGCGAGUAGCCUUGCAGCUUUCGUUGUACUAAAGGCUGCCAAUCGCGAAAGCCUGUUUGUCGGCGUUCGCGGGCGGGAGAUUUAAACGACAAACUGCACUCGGAGAAGGUUGCCCGGACGGGUUUUCGGACAGGAGUUCAAU